ACUGCUGCUUUCACCUAACCAGGCUCUUGGGCUCAGCACUCUGGAAUCCAAUCUCACUUUGGACUCCUGUCUUAUCUCUGUGUCUCUGAGGCACCUGUCUUGUGUGAUAAUAGGAUGAGUGGAGUACAGGUCCUCUUAACAACUGACUUGUUCCAGAACCUCAGAACUGAAGUUUGCCAAAAGCUAUGAUGCCAAGCAGACAUUGGCAAUACUCUUUUCCUGUCUCUUGUAAUGAAUAAGAAGCCUUCUGCAGUCUGUGGUGCUAAGGCAUAAGCCUGGUUUUUGCCUUCCACCUGAUCCAAAGCAAUUCUAGAUUCUUCAAGAAUGUUUUUUAGGCACAGGCAUUGGAACUGCAGGUAUGCUUGUAUCUCUUCAACUAUGCCUGUGCUUUGAGCCACAGUUGUGGCAUUGUACUUUCAUGCCAUUUCUGCUUCACCGAAAUGCUGCUCUUAUUUCACUCUUCACCGUUGUAUUCUAUGUCUAUUAAUGAUGUAUGUUUGUAGUGGAGUGAGUGCUACAAAAAAUGAACUCUACAUAUAAUCAUGGCCCAAACUGGAAUUCCUUUUAUUACUAUCCUCUAGCUCAUAAAAGGAAAUCCCGUGCCAUGAAAUUCAAGCUGCAGCUAAGUAAGAGUGCUUCUCAGCCAUUCGGUAUUCCUCGGGUGAUAGCCCAAAAACUUAGAAUACACAAGAUACAAGAUACAAUUUGCAAAACAUAUGAAAUUCAAGAAGAAUGAAGACCAAAGUGUGGACACUUUGCCCCUUCUUAGAAAUGGGAACAAAACACCCAUGGAAGNNNNNNNNNNNNNNNNNNNNNNNUCUGACGAAAUCCAGGCCCAUCCAUUUUUCUGAAAAUGUUAAGACUCCAUUCUUUUUAUGGCAGAAUACAAUUCCCAUAUGUAUAUAUACCAUAUUCUUAAAAUCCAUUCUUCUGUAAAGGGAACUUUAGGUUGAUUCUAUAUCUUAGCUAUUGUAAAUAGUAUAGCAAUAAAUAUGGCUGAGCAAGUAUCUCUAUGUUAGGAUAUGGAGUCCUUUGGGUACAUGACCAGGAUUUGUAUAACUAGUUGUGUGUGUGUGUGUGUGUGCGCAUAUGUGUACCCUUCAAACUGAGCUUCAUUGUGAAUACACUACUUUGCAUUGCCACCAGCAGUGUAUAAAGGUUCCUUUCACUUCUGUAUUCACACCAGCAUCUGUUGUUGUAUCUAAUAGGACUUUAGAAACAUUUUUUUUUUCCUCAUUGGACAAUGUCUGGCUGAAGUGAGUUAGCCACCUACAGGCUUUCAAAGCAGAACUUCCCAAUUCAUCCUGCCAAAAGGAUAUACUCAUUUGAUAGAUGGCUUCCUGUUUGUACACAGAAGGAACACUGAAGUAAGCCUGGGACAGGAUAAAGCCAAUGUGUCAGAGACAGGAAAUCUUACUUCUGAGUAUUCAGGGAGAAAGGAGCAUUGCUCAAUGCACUAGGAAUUCUACAAAAAUGGUUAUCCCCUGAGAUUGCACAGCCUAGGAACCACGCUGGCCCUCAGUUAGUGCAAUUUUGAAACUGCACCGCUGCACCACUAAACAAUUACACUUUCCUUUUAAGGCUGUUAACCUUUCUGUCUGGUAGUUUUAAACACAGUUAUCUACACUGUAUAUUUGCCUAAAAGCAGUCUUUAUGGCAAAAUCAAAAGCUGGGUCAUUCCAUACUCAUUUAAAUUAAGGGAACCCAGAGAAAGGAUGCAACAUUCAUAUAUGAUGUCCUGUAAAUGUUGUUAUUUGGGCUCCAGAGCAUUUGUCUCUGUAGAUUUGUAACUUUGAAUCUGCAUCUGAUUAUAAAGUGGAUAGUUUUAUUUAAAAAGCAUGGUCCAGCUAUCCCAUUUAACUCGAAAAAGAUACACACUAAAGGAGUUAAUUCCAAAGUGGCUAAAUUGAUAUUUGGCCAGUAAGAUGAGGGCAUGAGGGGAAAACUGCACUCACGUCAGCUCUGUGCCCCACUGUGCUCUGCUGACCAGGUGCAAAGAGAAAUAUGAGGAUCUGAGGGUGCUUUGGUUUUUAUUGCCAAAGGCAGCUGUGAUGAACAUUCCAGACCCUGGGGCAGAAGUUAGACAGAGCUGCCAGAAGGAACAAUGAAAGGGAUUCUAAUAGUUUAGUUUGUAUAUAAAACUGAGCCAAGGAGAACUGAGUAAGCACAGACGGUAUUACUGUAAUACAUCUAAUAUGUUUACAUAUACUUUUUACUCU
ensembl:processed_transcript